UUGAGUGUUCCCUCGCCCAGGACCGCACAAACACCUUGGAAACUCACGAGUCCAACAACCCUCAGCCUCCCCGGCCCCCCCACGCGGGCGUCACACCAUCGUGAGCAGUGCAGUAAACUGUCUAGCUGCAGGUGGAACUUUUACGACCCGAACACCCCUCAUCUAGACCAGGCGAUCCAAAUUAAGUUCCCACUAUCACACGGUCUACACAGAGACAAUCUAAGCCACUACCGGGGACGAAGAACAUUCCUACGCACGUCAGCAACCAAAUUGUCAUCUAUGUUUGUGUCUGCACCUACACAGAAACAGGAGUCCAGAUUUGCAUAUGACUGGACAGGACGAUUAGCUCCUGGGAGUCACACCCACUCAGGCUCUCUAAAGACGUUAACUUCGUGUGCGCGCAAAAGAUAAAGCGUCUAACUUCCCCUAGGGUUCUUGGCAACACCUAUCUCCGAGAGAAGUUUCAGAAGUUUCGACAGUGGUUAAUGUAAAUAAGCAGUCCCAGAGGAGCUCUGUGCGGUCAGGCAGAGCUGGGUGUGCUUCCGAGUCUACAGAAACACCCUUCCCCCAACUGCACACAGGAAAACUGCAUCUUCUGCCAGGUGUAAAUUGGGGGUCAUUUGAGAGAUAGAGUCAUGUAAGAAUGUGAGUGACUUUUGUAUAGGCUCAAGUACUUUCAUUUAGUGCUGAAAUCAUGUCUGGUUUGGUGGAGGGAAAAUUGGUUCUAUUAGUAGGAAAAAACAAAACAAAACAGGCAACAUUUAAAAGGAGGAUGGAAAGUCGGUUAACCUAGAUGGAACCAUUCAGUGUUAAAAAAUGGCCCUAUCUUGGGUUCAAACCCUCCCUCUGACAUUUACUGCUAUGAGAUCUUGGUGAAUGGGAAAAUAUUAUAACUGUCUAACUGGGGCUAUUGUGAAGAUGGAAUGAGAUAAAGCAUGUAAAGUGCUUAGGGUUGUACACGGUAAGCACUCAAUCAGUGCUAGUUGCUGAAACUAUUUGGCAAACCACUCUGAAUAACCUUAGCUGGUGAUCUGAAUAAAUUUGUAUUUGUGUCCCCUAA